rnacentral:rRNA from 1 species
CUGUCCAAAGAAGUUCUCAUCCAAGUUGCUUCCCUUGAGUCCUCCCACGCCAUCUGGACUGCCUUGGCCACUAUGUUUUCCGCUGUCUCGCUGUCUCGUGCCAACAAUCUUCGCCCUGCACUCACUAAUGCUCAGAAGGGCUCCAUGUCCGCCUCUGCCUACUUUGGCCAGAUGCGAUCUCUCUCCGACGAGCUCACCGCGGUGGGCAAACCCCUUGGAGACGGGGAACUCAUCUCUUUCAUCGUCGGCGGACUUGACAUGGACUAUCAACCCAUCAUCUCCGCCCUCGAUGUCCGCACCGAGCCCAUCACCGUCGACGGUCUCUUCUCCCUUGUGUCAAACUUCGAUCAGCGUAUGGAGAUGUUUCACGGUGCUGGCAAUGGCGGUUUCAAGUCCUCCGCCAACAUCGCCUCACGG